rnacentral:rRNA from 1 species
GACGAACGCUGGCGGCGUGCUUAACACAUGCAAGUCGAACGGAAAGGCCCUGCUUUUGUGGGGUGCUCGAGUGGCGAACGGGUGAGUAACACGUGAGUAACCUGCCCUUGACUUUGGGAUAAUUUCAGGAAACUGGGGCUAAUACCGGAUAGGAGCUCCUGCUGCAUGGUGGGGGUUGGAAAGUUUCGGCGGUUGGGGAUGGACUCGCGGCUUAUCAGCUUGUUGGUGGGAUAGUGGCUUACCAAGGCUUUGACGGGUAGCCGGCCUGAGAGGGUGACCGGCCACAUUGGGACUGAGAUACGGCCCAGACUCCUACGGGAGGCAGCAGUGGGGAAUAUUGCACAAUGGGCGGAAGCCUGAUGCAGCAACGCCGCGUGCGGGAUGACGGCCUUCGGGUUGUAAACCGCUUUCGCCUGUGACGAAGCGUGAGUGACGGUAAUGGGUAAAGAAGCACCGGCUAACUACGUGCCAGCAGCCGCGGUGAUACGUAGGGUGCGAGCGUUGUCCGGAUUUAUUGGGCGUAAAGGGCUCGUAGGUGGUUGAUCGCGUCGGAAGUGUAAUCUUGGGGCUUAACCCUGAGCGUGCUUUCGAUACGGGUUGACUUGAGGAAGGUAGGGGAGAAUGGAAUUCCUGGUGGAGCGGUGGAAUGCGCAGAUAUCAGGAGGAACACCAGUGGCGAAGGCGGUUCUCUGGGCCUUUCCUGACGCUGAGGAGCGAAAGCGUGGGGAGCGAACAGGCUUAGAUACCCUGGUAGUCCACGCUGUAAACGGUGGGUACUAGGUGUGGGGUCCAUUCCACGGGUUCCGUGCCGUAGCUAACGCUUUAAGUACCCCGCCUGGGGAGUACGGCCGCAAGGCUAAAACUCAAAGGAAUUGACGGGGCCCCGCACAAGCGGCGGAGCAUGCGGAUUAAUUCGAUGCAACGCGUAGAACCUUACCUGGGUUUGACAUGGAUCGGGAGUGCUCAGAGAUGGGUGUGCCUCUUUUGGGGUCGGUUCACAGGUGGUGCAUGGCUGUCGUCAGCUCGUGUCGUGAGAUGUUGGGUUAAGUCCCGCAACGAGCGCAACCCUUGUUCACUGUUGCCAGCACGUUAUGGUGGGGACUCAGUGGAGACCGCCGGGGUCAACUCGGAGGAAGGUGGGGAUGACGUCAAGUCAUCAUGCCCCUUAUGUCCAGGGCUUCACGCAUGCUACAAUGGCUGGUACAGAGAGUGGCGAGCCUGUGAGGGUGAGCGAAUCUCGGAAAGCCGGUCUCAGUUCGGAUUGGGGUCUGCAACUCGACCUCAUGAAGUCGGAGUCGCUAGUAAUCGCAGAUCAGCAACGCUGCGGUGAAUACGUUCCCGGG